rnacentral:rRNA from 1 species
GAUGAACGCUGGCGGCGUGCCUAAUACAUGCAAGUCGAGCGAACAGACGAGGAGCUUGCUCCUUUGACGUUAGCGGCGGACGGGUGAGUAACACGUAGGUAACCUACCUAUAAGACUGGGAUAACUUCGGGAAACCGGAGCUAAUACCGGAUAAUAUUUCGAACCGCAUGGUUCGAUAGUGAAAGAUGGCUUUGCUAUCACUUAUAGAUGGACCUGCGCCGUAUUAGCUAGUUGGUAAGGUAACGGCUUACCAAGGCAACGAUGCGUAGCCGACCUGAGAGGGUGAUCGGCCACACUGGAACUGAGACACGGUCCAGACUCCUACGGGAGGCAGCAGUAGGGAAUCUUCCGCAAAGGGCGAAAGCCUGACGGAGCAACGCCGCGUGAGUGAUGAAGGUCUUCUGAUCGUAAAACUCUGUUAUUAGGGAAGAACAAACGUGUAAGUAACUGUGCACGUCUUGACGGUACCUAAUCAGAAAGCCACGGCUAACUACGUG